UACGGGGGGGGGCAAGCGUUGUUCGGAAUUACUGGGCGUAAAGGGCGCGUAGGCGGUCUUUUAAGUCUUGUGUGAAAUCCCUCGGCUCAACUGAGGAACUGCACGGGAUACUGGAAGACUUGAGUUCGGGAGAGGGAAGCGGAAUUCCGGGUGUAGCGGUGAAAUGCGUAGAUAUCAGGAGGAACACCUGUGGCGAAAGCGGCUCACUGGACCAUAACUGACGCUGAUGCACGAAAGCUAGGGGAGCAAACAGG
rnacentral:rRNA from 1 species